rnacentral:rRNA from 1 species
UACGUAGGGUGCGAGCGUUGUCCGGAAUUACUGGGCGUAAAGAGCUCGUAGGUGGUUUGUCGCGUUGUUCGUGAAAACCGGGGGCUUAACCCUCGGCGUGCGGGCGAUACGGGCAGACUUGAGUACUGCAGGGGAGACUGGAAUUCCUGGUGUAGCGGUGGAAUGCGCAGAUAUCAGGAGGAACACCGGUGGCGAAGGCGGGUCUCUGGGCAGUAACUGACGCUGAGGAGCGAAAGCAUGGGGAGCGAACAGG